UGUCUCAGAUCACGGAGCCGUGUGAUAUUAUUCUUUCGCCUUUCACUAAAGAAUACCGUGGGUUCGUCAUCAUAAGCGGCAUACGCAACUUUUUGGAAGGGUUCUCUUGUGGGUACCC